UACGUAGGGUCCGAGCGUUGUCCGGAAUUACUGGGCGUAAAGCGUGCGCAGGCGGCUUGCCAAGUCAGAUGUGAAAGCCCCGGGCUCAACCCGGGAACGGCGUUUGAAACUGGCAGGCUAGAGUUUGGCAGAGGGGGGUGGAAUUCCACGUGUAGCAGUGAAAUGCGUAGAGAUGUGGAGGAACACCGAUGGCGAAGGCAGCCCCCUGGGCCAAAACUGACGCUCAGGCACGAAAGCGUGGGGAGCAAACAGG
rnacentral:rRNA from 1 species